UAAAUUGCUUUUUAUGGAAGCAGGAGCCUGUAUUUACCAAUUGCUUUCUGGAACCUGUGGGAUAUUUCAUCAUUCCGCAGAGAACUACCUGAAAACUUUCAGUUUCUGAGUGAGACCAGCCAGUCUCAUUUGUUCUGAGGCUGAGGAAAGACGUGCAAGGGAAAAUCUGUGCCACAGGAGCCUCUUAGGAAAUAUUAGAGGAGAGAAAUACAUUUAUGGGGAUGGAAGGAGGGAGAGAACAGCGUUAACAUCCAGCUGCUAAUGGACUGUGUGGCAUCCACCACUUCCCGGAGUUCUUAAUGGCCUCUGUGACUGAGAAAAGCAACAUUCACCGAGGUUUAAUAAAUUUUUUAGCUUUCUAAGCGAGGCUGGCAGCUCCAAAGAGCGACAUUUUCACCAGCCCAUUAAUGCCUCCUGAAUUUUCUGCCUUGCCACCUUCUGCCUGCCAGUUUGUGCCUCUUUAUCUGCACUAAUUAAGCAGCAUUUCCAUCCAGAGUCUUUGAUUUGCACCCGAGGAUCUCUCCACUCCCAUUUUAGUGCCAUUUUGUUCCCCUGAAUGCCUCUGAUGUCACCAGCGAGGCCGCCUAUUCCAGGACAUGAAUUUUUCACCAAGUCCUACACCUCCAUUUUUGGGAGGGGGGAGAGGGAAAAAGGGGGCAUGAAUACAGAAUGACUCCUCUAUUUUCACUUCAAAGGCUAUUUGGGCCGCUUCAAAGGGUUCCUUUGCCACAGAGAAAUCAUGUUUUUUGAAAACACUUAAAAAAAAAUGAAAGGCAGCAAGCGACUUUGUGCUGAGAGAAUUCCUCCUUGGACAACUCAAGCGGUGCUGGGCAGUGGUGAUUUCGGUGUGCUCAGAGGACUUAAUCAUCCUGUGGGCUUUGAUUGGUGCCUCCAGGCUCCCCAUCUCCGUGACUACAUUUAAAUUAGAAAUAAGGCAAAACGUUUUGCUGCGCCACCGCGUCGCUUGGAUCCCUGCUUAGCAUUCUCCCGCUGUCCCCGGGAUUGCAGCGGGAAACCUCAAUUUGUCUGCUUGCCCUUGUGGGAUGUCUGCUUAAACAUCCUCCAGUGCGAUCUAAGAGGCCUGAUUUGCCCGUCAUUCCAGCCCUGGCAAUUCUGGAUUAUUUCAGGAGAGAUGAUGGUGCCUGGAAGUGAAAUUUGGAUCUCCUGGCUUCCAGAACAGGGUGGUUUUCUUGAGAAGGACAGGUUCCGGAGGCAGCCUGGGAAAACACAACCUGGAGAAUGAGUUGUUUUGGGUGGAGAAUGGCUUUUGCCAGGAUUUAUGUUGCCUUUAUGGAGACACAAGGAAUUCUUCUGACAAUUUAAGUCCCUGCACUGAAAGCAGGAGCCCUACAGGGGAGCUGUGCAUUGUACAGUGGAAUUCCUGGGAGGAGCAGAACACCCAGCAGCUCCAGAAGAGAAACAAUGUGCUCAGCAGUGGUUGGGAUUGCAGGUGGCAGCCGUGGCAGUGAUGGAUUCUCACCUCAUUCCUGCACCAGGGCCUCUCAGUCACUCAGGGCAUGAAUGCUGGUGCAGUUCCCAAGCUGAGGCUCAAAAUCGAUCCCUGCAGUGGGAACUUCUGCACAGCCUUGGAAAUGGGACACAGGGAGGAAACUGUGGCCACGGAGAGAUCUUGUGUCCAGGUUGAAGGUGUUGGAAGCUGCCAGAGCCACUGAUUCCAAUUUGUGUUUCUCCAUCUGCAUGGAAAAUCCAUCUGCUUGCAGAAAUUGUAUUUACACAGCCCAUAAUCCUGAGCAGCCUCAGAUAUUGGGGAUUGAGGCUCUAACGACAUUGGAAACCAUUUUUAUUAAGAGGCAGAAAUUGAAUUAGCUCCAUCACUGUCCUGGAUGUGAUGUGCUGUGACCUGUGACCUGCAAACUUGUAAUUCCAUAACAAAAUCCACCCCAGCAGCCACCAGUGGGGCAGGGAGAUCCUUGGAAUACAAAACCCACAGGGAGGAACACUGAAGACAACCUGGAAACCAGGGAAUGCCAGACUUGCAUCAAAAACCAUUCAAUCAACACCCAGGAAGAAGGAAUUUUGUGUCCUCUGUAAAAAUCCUCAGUUUUCCAUGCCUCCCCUGUGCCUCAGGAAGCAGGUGGAGAAUUGCCAGCCCACACCAGCUUUGUGGCGCCCUCACCCACCUUUAUUUAAUCCCCUGGAUCCUCGUGAUUUCCAUAGGAACUUGAGAUUUAUGGAGACCAGCAGCCAAGUCAGAGCUGGAAGCAGAGAGGGUGUUUUUCCAGAGCAGCUGGAUGUGUUCACACCUGAAGGAUCAGCUAGAGAAACCAGGACAUGGAAAUAAUUCAGGUUUUUAACAGCGUGGAGCAACCUGAGGCAGUGGAAGGUGCUGCUGCCCAUGGAAGGGCUGGGAUGGGAUGGGCUUUUCUCUUUUCUGAGAUGAUGUUUGAGGGUUACACCCCUCCAUUUAGGCGGAAUCCAGUUAUUAGGUGGAAUCCAGGCAGGAACUCGGGAAUGGGUUCAGGGAGAUUUGGGAGAGCCCUGCAGGAACAUCCCAGCUCCUGGGGCUGGCCUUGGAGUCAGGCAGGGAAAUGGCAAACCCUGAUCUGAACCCGGGUUUGGCCUUGGAUUCAGGUAAGGAAAUGGUAAAUCCUUGGUCUCAGCCUGGGUUUGGCCUUGGAUUCAGAUUGGGGAAUGGCAAAUCCUGAUCUGAACCUGGGAAAAUGGUAAAUCCUGCUCUGAACCUGGGUUUGGAUUCAGACAGGAAAAUGGUAAAUCCCUGAUCUGAACCUGGGUUUGGCCUUGGAUUCAGGUAAGGAAAUGGCAAAUCCUUGGUCUCAACCUGGGUUUGGCCCUGGAUUCAGAUAGGGGAAUGGCAAAUCCGGGUAUGCACCUGGGAAAAUGGUAAAUCCUGCUCUGAACCUGGAUCUGGCCUUGGAUUCAUGUAAGGAAAUGGCAAAUCCUUGGUCUCAACCUGGGUUUUGGGGAUUCAGGAGCUUUGUUUGCUCCCACCAACCCCAGAGCUGAAGAUAACCCCCAGUUUGCUGAGAACUUUGUGCCACGUUUCACCUGGAGUUGGAUAUUGGAUAAACUGGAAUUUUUUCUCUUGGGUGUGGUUCCCAAGCUGCUCCUAAGCCUCUCCCACAGCUUUUCCUUCACUAAACACCCAAUUCCAGUUGGUUCCUGGGGGAUGAGCAGCCUCGGGCAUUCCAAAGGUGAUGUUGGGAGAGUCAGGCCCACCCUCCUCAGGGCUCAGCACAAUUCUGGUUUUACCCUCAAAACUCUGGUUUUACCCUUAACACAAUUCUGGUUUUACCCUCAGCACAACUCUGGUUUUACCCUCAACACAACUCUGGUUUUACCCUUAACACAAUUCUGGUUUUAUCCUCAGCACAAUUCUGGUUUUACCCUCAACACAACUCUGGUUUUACCCUUAACACAAUUCUGGUUUUAUCCUCAGCACAAUUCUGGUUUUACCCUCAGCACAAUUCUGGUUUUACCCUCAACACAACUCUGGUUUUACCCUCAGCACAAUUCUGGUUUUACCCUCAACACAACUCUGGUUUUACCCUCCUGUCCAGCCCAGAGGGGCCAAACCCCUCAGAGCUUUAUCAGCAUUAAUCUGAUGCGCAGGGUCUAGCAGAAUUCUUGUUUUAAAUUUAAAUCCAAAGUUAAUCCAUCUCCCCUGAUGCUCCAAAUCAGUAACCUGCAGUAAUUGCUUCUCAUAAUGGUUUUCUGGACUGGUGCUGAUAUUUCAAAGUGUGGCUCUUCUCCUGCUCGAUGAAAUAAUGCAAAUAUUAUCACAAAAACAAUUACAGCAGGGCAGGAGCUUCCACAUCUCUUCGAGGCAGAAAAGGACAAAUUGGGGCUUUAUGCUCUGGUUCAGAUGAUACAAAUUCUUUGCAUAACCCUGGAAGUUUCAUUUUCCUCUUUUACUCAAAUUUAACUCUUCAGUGAAGCUGCACAGCCAUGUUUACCUUGCCCAUGAGCUGAAACAUUUGCUUAAUGGUUACAAAUUGCUUUGAAAAUUCAGCAUCAAAAGCUUUGAUCAGGCAACUCCCUAAUUGCUGCUUGCUUUUAAAAUGUGUGGCAGGGAGUUCUGGUAGCCCUGAGUCUUCAGGAGUGGCUUUCUCCUUGAUUGCUCAGCCAUGAGUGAGUUUAAAACCCUUAUUAUUUAUCUAUUAUAGAUGUAUCAAGUUAAGUCACAGGCUAUUUAUAUGUGGUUUUAAGAGUGGCUUUAUGGGUGCUGUUUCUAUAUUCUCAGCACACCUUUGUCUGGUUCUCAGGGCUCCUUGUUUUAUUUGUUUGCAUUUUCAGUGGUCCCUGUUUGAAUGAGCUGUUUGUGUCGGGUGCCACGUGGGGUUUUGCAGGGUAAGAAAUGAAUCCUCACAUUGGGAUGUCAAAAUACAUCAUUUCCAAGGGACAUCAACAAGGCCAUGUCCACAUUCUGACCUUGCUGCUUAAGUCAAGUUUGGGAAAUAUUUGGUUUGCUCUGGGGCAGUUUUUGUUCGCCCUGGGAUUUAUGUGUUUGUCAAGUUCAUUAAGUCACACGGGAUAUGGAAAUAAUUCAGGUUUUUAACAGCUUGGAGCACCCUGGGGUAGUGGAAGGUGUCGCUGUGGGGUCCCUGCACUGUUAUCUGUGUCUCUGGGGUGUCUGUGGGGUCUCUGCACUGUUAUCAGUGUCUGUGGGGUGUGUAGAAGUUUUUGUUUGUGUACAUGUUAAGACUUCAUCUACAGGUGUUUACAUAUCUUCUUCGUGUUUACAUAUCUUCUUUGUGGAUUCUCAUGGGACAGAUCUUCUGUUAUUGCAGAUUUCUAUUAUCUUUCUUUACAAGAAUAUUUUGUUGUGUUAAUUGACUUUCUAUUUUUCUGAUUUUUUUUUUUUUUAAUGGGAACUUGCAGGCUCAGCUGGUAAUUCAGUAGAGCAAGACCUGGUUUUAUACGGCCUUUUUUACAAUAAUAUCUUCACUUGUAUGCCACAGGAUCACUCUGAGGUGCAUUUCCCACCCAGGAGCUCCCAGGCUCUUUUUCCAGAGAAAUCCCACUGAAUCAGGGCAGUUCAGGGUUUUUCCUGGCAUUCUCCCUGUGGGAAGCAGCAGCCUGGCACUGCAGGACCCUCCUGCAUGGAAGCUUUGCCUGAAUAUGAAUUUAAUGCAGGAAUUCCUCAGCUCAUUAAUAAACCUUCAUGAGGAUUCAAUUCAGCAUUAAAGCCACUUAAAUGGCUUUUUAUUUCCCAUUUAUUACUCGGCGCUUCCUCUUAUAACUCUGGCAUUUUGUGGGUUUUUUCUUUGCCUACUUCAUGCAGUUUUAAUAUUCAUAUUCUCUCAGGUCAAGUGUGGAUGAAUUCCUGAGGAGCUGAAAACCAACACAAACGCUCUCUUUGCCCUCCUCUUUUCCCUCCUCUUCCUCAGCUGUGCAACCCUCCAGUUUAUCUGGGAGAUUUCUCAUCCCUGAUGGAAGGGAUUCCAUUGAUCCCAGGGUGAGAGGGCACAUCCUGUGUUAGUUUAACUGAGGGGAAAACCCUUCAUCAUUCCACUGGUGGGAAAUGAAAAUACCUGACAUUGCAGGACUGCAUUUUGAACAAGCCAAAUUUUACCCUCACUUUUAAAACUUUUAUUCUGUCAGAGAAAUCUGAAUUAAGUUAUUACACAGUGGAAAUGAAGAUGGGGUUUGUUGUUUUGAUAUUCGUUUUGGCAUUUAAUUUCGAUAUUUAAUUUCUCCAUAUUUUUUUAAUUAAAAGAUGUAUCAUCAGUCUCAACAAACCCAAUUGUUGUGUAAAGCUAACACUGCACUUGGCAUUUGGGAACUCCUUUAGAAACCUCGUGUUAGAACACAGGGAUCAAACGGACUUUUAUCCUUUAUUCUAUUAUAUAACUGGAAUAACAUGGUUCCAUAAAUUCAACAGAGUCCUGUUUGCCUCCCAAAGCUUGCAGGGAAAUUUAUGGGGUAAUGAAAAUGUGUUCAGAAAGAUAAAUUUCUGUUUCAUUCUCUGGAUUUUUGUCACAGUUUCCAAUCCCUGUAUUAAAUAAUCUGUUUCUUUUAAAGAGGGUUAUAUAACGUCAGGGCUGACAGCUGAGCUUGCAGGAUGCUGUAAUUAAGCUGAAUGGUAAAUAACUGCACAAAAGGGCUGCUGGAAACACCAAUAUCAGACCUGAAAAAGCCCCUAAUUCAUCAAAAAUACAAAAGAUAUUCCACAGGUGGCAUCAAUUCCAUGUUCUUGAAAUAACUUCAUUAAAAUGCUACCAAGUAAUUGAAUCAUUGAAUUUUUAGCCACGGCCUUGAGAGUCCCUUUCAGCAGAGAGAUUCUUUCAUGAGAGAUUAGUGGCUGAGAUGGUUUAGAGGCAGCACAUGACAGUUUAAGAGGCUGUGUUAGUUAGAAAAGCUUUUAGGGUGUGGGGAGAUGGUGGGGUUUGGAUCAUGUGGAGCCAAAUUGCCCUCCCUCUGAACGAGCAUUUAUGCUGUCUUGAUUAAUGCCAAGGAGAUUGCCAGGGAGGGUUUAUUUAGGCCGGUUUUGCAGGUCAGAUUUUGCUCCUUUCCCUCCCUGUACCCCCGGCAGAGUGGCUGGAGAGGUCCUGGCAGGGCCCCCUUGGUCAGGGCUCAGUUAAAGCUGGGCUUGCUUGGUCCAGGCUGGGUCACCCUGCUGAUCAGAGCCUGCCUGCGUUUCAGGAGCUGCUGUGUGGAGCAGAGAUGGGCUGAGCUCCCUCCUCCAGGCUCCCCCAAUGGUCCCAUUUCCUUCCUCCAGGCUCUGCUCCCAGGGAACAGGGACGGCCUCAAGGGAAAUACAGGUUGGAUAUCAGGAAAAGUGUUUAACUGAAAGUUUUUUUAAAGUUCUGGAAUGGCUGCCCAGGGAGGUGGUGCAGAAACCCAUCCCUGGGUGUGUUUAACAAGGCCUGGAUGUGGCACUGGGGGCCAGGGGUGA